GAUAAACGCUGGCGGCGUGCAUUAGACAUGCAAGUCGAACGAACGACCUCGGGCUUGCCCGGGGAAGUUAGUGGCGAACGGCUGAGUAACGCGUGGGUGACCUGCCCAGAAGUGGGGAAUAACUGCCCGAAAGGGUGGCUAAUACCGCAUGUGGUCAUAAGUUCAUUCUUCUGACCAAAGCCUUCGGGCGCUUCUGGAGGGGCCUGCGUUCGAUUAGCUCGUUGGUGAGGUAACGGCUCACCAAGGCGACGAUCGAUAGGUGGUCUGAGAGGAUGAUCACCCAGACUGGGACUGAGACACGGCCCAGACUCCUACGGGAGGCAGCAGUCGGGAAUUUGCCCAAUGGGGGAAACCCUGAGGCAGCAACGCCGCGUGAGGGAUGAAGGCCUUCGGGUUGUAAACCUCUUUUCUCAGGGACGAUAAUGACGGUACCUGAGGAAUAAGCCACGGCUAACUACGUGCCAGCCGCCGCGGUAA
rnacentral:rRNA from 1 species